UUGAAUCAGAUUUCAUUAUUAAUAAGCUCAUGACUAGAUCCUGGUCAAGAGAUCAUAACAAAUUGGUAUCAAAGCCGGUUGUCAUGGACGAGUUCCAAGAGAAGAACUAAGGGUGCUAUUCCAAGAAAUAUAAGCAUUGAUCGAAGCAAGAGCAGCACAGGCUAAAUAAAAAAUGGAAGAUCGGAUCAAGCAAUUAGAGUUGAAACUGGAAUCCCAAUUGCAAAACUUGUCCCGUCAAUUACAAGAGUUCAUUAAGAGAACUUACAAGGGCCGAGGCAAGGAAAUAGAGGGCAGAUCAUGUAGCAAUAACAACUAUGAAGGCAGUAACAAUAGAAUUGAUAGAAAAACAAAAGCGAGACUCGAGGUGGGGGUAGUAACAACGUGUACAAAGUUGGAUUUUUCAACAUUUGAUGGAUCUGAAGAUCCAUUGAUUUGGUUACACCGAUGUGAAUAAUUUUUUUCAAACCAACAAAUGCCCGAAACAGACAAGGUGAACCU
rnacentral:misc_RNA from 1 species